CAAGAUGGCAUCAUGAGUCCGCAUGUUCACAUGAUUAAAGGUAUUCCGGUAGACGAUGGGGAUGCGUUCCAUUAGAUAGUAGGCGGGGUAACGGCCCACCUAGUCUUCGAUGGAUAGGGGUUCUGAGAGGAAGGUCCCCCACAUUGGAACUGAGACACGGUCCAAACUCCUACGGGAGGCAGCAUG
rnacentral:rRNA from 1 species